UGCCAUGCUUUCUUCUUACACUGCCUCAGUAACUUCUGUGUUCCAGGUAAUGACGCUCUGUCGGCAAGGGUUGUGGAGGGUGGAGCACACAGAGCAGAGCACCUAGCCAGCUGCAAUGGACAUACAGAGAUGAGGCUGCAUGUUUCUGCUCUCUACAUUGCUUCAUAUCAACUAAUUUUUAAGAAGAGAUUAUCACCUGCCACCCCAUUUUAAGUGAAUAUGGGUAAUCAGAUGGGGCUUAAUGUCUUUAAAAUGGGAAAUGCAUCAAACGUGCUUGCACACACACACAUUUGAACACAGAUAAAAAGAUAUAUUUUUUAA